GUCCUUUAGGACAAUGGUAGGAGAGCGUUCUAAGGGCGUUGAAGCAUGAUCGCAAGGACAUGUGGAGCGCUUAGAAGUGAGAAUGCCGGUGUGAGUAGCGAAAGACGGGUGAGAAUCCCGUCCACCGAUUGACUAAGGUUUCCAGAGGAAGGCUCGUCCGCUCUGGGUUAGUCGGGUCCUAAGCUGAGGCCGACAGGCGUA
rnacentral:rRNA from 1 species